AUUGAACGCUGGCGGCAGGCCUAACACAUGCAAGUCGAACGCGUGGCGGACGGGUGAGUAAUGUCUGGGAAACUGCCCGAUGGAGGGGGAUAACUACUGGAAACGGUAGCUAAUACCGCAUACCAUCGGAUGUGCCCAGAUGGGAUUAGCUAGUAGGGGGGGUAAUGGCUCACCUAGGCGACGAUCCCUAGCUGGUCUGAGAGGAUGACCAGCCACACUGGAACUAAGACACGGUCCAGAGUCCGACGGGAGGCAGCAGUAGGGAAUAUUGCACAAUGGGCGCAAGCCUGAUGCAGACAUGCCGCGUGUAUGAAGAAGGCCUUCGGGUUGUACAGUACUUUCAGCGAUGAGGCGUUACUCGCAGAAGAAGCACCGGCUAACUCCGUGCCAGAGGCCGCGGUAAUAC
rnacentral:rRNA from 1 species